UAUUGUGGCCAUGCCUCCUUGCCUCCCAACUUGUCUGAUCUUUGAAGCUAAGCAGGGUUGGACCUAGUUAAUACUUGGAUGAGAAAACUGAGAACACCAGAUGUCACAGUGG
rnacentral:rRNA from 1 species